UCCUUAAGAACAGGUACUUGUUUCUUGCUAUUACUCUCUUUUUCCCACCCAAGAACAGAAAGAAAAUUUUUCUCCGGCAAGUACAGCGAGUAGUUUUCAAAAAUCAUGAGCUAGGCUUCCUGAUGUCUUAGGAUUUGCAUGGGUCCUCGCAAUACCUAAUAGUAACAGCAAGAAGCUAUGGUCGGAGAAACAGAAUUCUUGAGGAUUAACACUGAUUCACACCAACAGCAUGCACUAGAGGUCAGAUUCUGGGUAGUAAAAGAGCCCUUCUAAGUCAAUUAAAAUAUGAAUCUGAAGUAAAUGGAUCUCGGGGGAUCAGAUGGACUGACGACUGAACUCGCAACCCCUGUCUCCCUCCCCAAAAGAAGUUACAAGGUCUGAGUAUUUUUAUUCUGGAAAAAUACCAAGAUUGUCAGCGCUCUAUUGGGUCAGAGGAGAAGACACGACUGGGAAAGGACAUCAGGAGGACGUGUCAUGGCCCCAUCAGCCACAAGUACUACCUGGAAGUGGAACAUGUCUCCACACCUAUGACAGAGCCUGCUUGUUGAUCCCCACAUGCAUCCAACCAAUAGUAACCAAGCAUGAAUGGAUACAAGUAUCUGAAGACUUAGACACAAAGCAAUGUUUCACGAUAGAUUUCAACAUUGCAUGGCCAUGCAGGAGGUUCAAAAUUUCUUCUCUGCUCUGCAAAUCAUUUUGCCUCCUUACCUGGAGGAGAGAGCGAAAAUGAGAGAGAGAGAGAGACGCCUAUGUUCCCUACCUUCAGCUACAAAGUAAUUACUAAAAUAAAUGACUUCUAAAUGAA